rnacentral:lncRNA from 1 species
CCACAGAUCAUAGCUAGGCAUGGUGGCGCAAGGUAACUGCCAUGGCUACCUGUUUCGAGGCAGCAUCAACAAUAUGUAGCACUGCUAUGCACUCUUGCCGUGCCAGCCCCAUCGCUUCUUGGUGUCAUGAGAGGUCCAGGGAUUGGACCUAUUCCAACGUAGCCUUGAGGGCAGGAAAAGUCUUAUUCCAUAGGUGCUGAUAGUAUGCACCCAUGGCAACAGUAUAACUGGCCAUUCUCAACACAAAGGAAGCCAAUGAAUAUAUUCAACAGCCAGUAACAUCGAGCUUUCUACCCUCCUCCUUAUUUGGGGUUAUCGCAGAGUGGUUUCUGGCUCUGUUUUGUGUGGCGUCAACAACAAAGGAGUUAGGCAGCAGAUGCUUUGAUAGAAAGUCUGUGUUCUCUCCAUGAGUUUUAUACAGAUUCUCCACCCUCCUGGGGAUCUGAUGAGCCAUAGAUGGCUUUUCCCAUGACUCUCCAACUAGUUUCAACAGGGAUGAAAUGAAGGCAAGGCGGAGGGGAGGACUUUAGUCUUGUGUAAUGUCCUCGUUUACUUUGUCUAUCUCCUCCGACGCAGGCAGAUUGACUGCCAAGUCCAUCACCUUCGCAAUUCUCAAUCUCAGCUGAGAAUACGAGGUAUAGUCCUCAGAUGGAGAGGGAGGGUGACUCCCAGCCACAUCCAAAUCCGGGGUGGGAUGUUCAGCGGCAACUCCUUUAGCCCAUCGAUCUCAGAGGCCUCCAAUUUGGUAUUGAGGUGGAGGGGAAUGUGGUCCAGGGAGGGCGAGAGAUCAUAGUGCAAAGGUGUUGGACGAUAGCCCUAAGUCUCAACAUGACCAUUUCUCCUUCCUUCUCCCUCAUAUCUAGGAGCCAGUUGAUCCAGAGAUGGCUGGUGUCUGGAUCAACAGCCCGAGUCCAAGUGGAAAGCUCCUUGUGGCACCAAUGGCAGGCGAUGCUGCCUUUUUUGCCUCAGAGGCAAAGUACAGUACCUACACAGCAGCAAAGGAUUUUAUUGGAAUCCCUCUCUCAUUCUUUUUAAAUU